GCUUCUAUAUUUCAUAGGUGGGGAAAUCAUACUGAUGACUCAACCAUCCAUAGUGUUAUUUUGCUGUUUCAUGCUACCUCAGUGGAAAAUAACAAGUCUAAUUUUUACCCCCUGCACGAUAAAAAAAAUCUAUUAUUUUUAUUGAGGAACCUACCGCUGGUAGAAACUCAUUUAUUUCAGGGUAAUCUGGUUCUUAAAAUAUUAUUGAUAGCAUUUAUGUUUAACUGGAUUGCAAGAACAGAAUACACACAAGUCAUUUGGUUCCCAGUUUUAUAAUUUUGGCUUCCGUACCUUAUUUAGACAAGCUUAGGCUUCCUUUGCUUGGCUAUGACAGACAUUUUAGAAUAUCUCCGGACUCAUGAAUAUAAAUAGUUGUGCAAAAACAAAUUUUAUAAAACCAGAGCUGGUAACAAAAAUUACCUAGAGAUCAACAACUCUAAAAGAAUCUAGUGUCACAUUCCUUAGAAUGUCAGAUUAAACUAACAUGUGCCAGUCAAUAUUGCUACACUGCGACCCUUGAUGCCUCCUAAGCAAAACUAUUAAGUCCAACAUUCUCUCCUGUAAGCACUUAUCUGUAAGGAUGGCUAACAUGUCCUCUGAAGCAGAUAUUGAAACUGAUUGGACAAUAGGUAGAUACCAGACAGGGGCCUGGGGGCCGACCUCUAGAAAUAGGGGGAGAAAAUCUUAAUCUGCAACACAAUGCCGUUCUCUUGAAACCCUAUCAUUUUCACUUCCCAUGUGUCUGCUGCCUGACUGUGAAUGGAUUUGAAAAGGAAUGGUUAGUGCUGAAAAUUGGAUCAGAGCUAACAUUCUCUCAUUUUUAUCAGCAGCUGCCAAAGGUCAUCUGACAUAAUAGCUGAUGAAUUCAAGCCCAGUGGAUUUCAUUUGCAAUUUUCAAUUUACUGAGGCCUCCAAACCCCACGGUGAUAAAAGCUUCCCCUAUCGUGGCCUGUCACAAACAUCAAGAAACUGCACAAACCCACAAGAAAGAAAAAAGAGAAAGCUGUGCAUCCUCGCAGGUACAGAUAAGGAGAACAGGAAGAAAUGGUAUCAUGCGGGAAGGUAUGGAGCAGCUUGUGUGGCUGGUUCUCUAAAUGCCAAUUGAAAGGAAAAGACUAUGAAGAACAAUCAAAUAACUUCCACAGAAUAACAUCAUGUUUCUUUGGGGCUUUUGUGUGAAAAUUGCCUUCUAAUCUCUUACUUGACAAGUCCCCAAACAAAACUGUAAGCGUAAAUAUGCAAACAAAUAAAUGAAUAAAUAAU
rnacentral:lncRNA from 1 species